UUGGAUGAAAAAGAACUCAAGUGCGCAUAUUAAGAAAAUUAUAACCACAAGAACUUAAAACUUCUGCGUCAAUACUCUAAAAAUAUAACCCCUAGAAAUUCAGCAAUACCAAUCAAAAUCGCGUCAUUUGAAAUUCGACAACCUUCGCAAUUAUACUUAACGUACGCGUUUAAUUUGACACAUAAAAUAGAUUGGAAUGACUUAAUUUUCGAAAACGAGAUUCUCAGAUGGGGUAGCUAUGGUGAUGUAUACAAAGCAACUUGGAAGUCAAAAGAUGGCCCACAGAAAAUCGUGAUUAAAAAAUGUAUACCCUUUGUAAAAGACUCCGCAAUUGAAAAAGAAUUCGGUAUCACAAGGGAUGAGGACAAUAGAACGGUCAUGGUUAUGGAAUAUCCAUAAUGUUAUGUAUAACGAGGAUAUAUGUUAUAUGAGACGUAUUCGCUGGAUGCUUCAAUGUGCCAAGGGUAUUGAAUAUCUUCAUAAAAUUAGUCUGCAAAUUUUUCACCGUGAUCUAAAACCACAAAAUUUAGUGAUUUUCGAUAAUUAUUCGACUUUGAAAAUUUGCGAUUUUGGCACAGCUAAAGAGUUGGAUA